rnacentral:lncRNA from 1 species
AGGGUUGGGCCAAAGUUAGGCCUUUCCUUUUGCCUUGUAAUUUCUCCAAGCCCAUUAAGCAUGUCGUGGUUGGCACCAUUUCUUACAGGACGUGUCUGGAGCAUACUUACACUUCAUACAAAAUUAAAUAACAAGAAUUAACUUUAAUUAACAUACAGAGUGCCCAGAAGUAUUACAUCUCUUGAAAUAUGUACAUAAGAUACAUAUAUAUGAGGCUCUAAAGUUUUUUUUAUCUUAUAAUAUAAAAG